ACUAGAAAAGAAAAAAAAAUACUCUUUAGAUUUUAUUCUUUAAAGUAAAUGUCUCAAGAGUAUAUCGUAGUAGUUAGUUCGUAGAUUCUGUUUCGGGUGUUGCGAAACGGUCUCAUCACGGUUGUAUCCUGGGAUUCAAAAAUUGCAUAAAACCGUCACACAUUACGGGCGAUUUAUUGAGUUAAGGAAAGAGAUCAAAUCUCGACUCCGUGAAUUCGUCUAUUUCCUUACGAUUUCUUAAACGUUGUAAAUCUUUAUAUUAUCGUUUAUAUGUUUUUUGUUUCGUAAUUUUCAAUCAGGAUUUUCGCGGUCCUACAACAUAUUUCUUCAAGUUGAUCGUCUGUGAGUUUCCAUGGUGCCAUGAUCGAAGGGUUUAGAUUGAGAAAUCUAAACGGUUGUCGCUGAUACCAACUAUAGCGUAACAGAUAAUGUAGCUUCAAAUUUUUAGUCUAAGAAUGCCUAAAAGAACCUACAAGUUUGAAUCUGUGAGAUCACCAAUGGUCUAGCCGUAAACAAGAGUUGAAAGCAAAGCUACGUUUCAUAAAUUCAAUAAUAAUGUGUCUCUUUGCAAAGCCUAAAGAUCAUUAUAUAUAGUCAUAAAAAGUCCUUAAGUCCUC
rnacentral:lncRNA from 1 species